CCUUAUACAGAUGUAGUAACGCAAGACAGUUGCGCAUUUCCCUUUAAGGUUAUGUUUUAAAUAGAAGUAUAGGCAACAGUUCUUAUUGUGUAGCUACGAGCUGAAAUGAGAUGAGUUUAUAUGGAAUAGGUCAACUGUAAGACCUUGAGUUGAAAAACUCUAGAAUUAAUCUAGACACUGAUUUUUAAAAAUUUAGUGGUUUUAGUUACAGU
rnacentral:sRNA from 1 species